CUGGGUGACUCAUAUAAUGUCAAAAGUGAAGAAGAAUACAACUUUACUUGAAAAGGAGGAAGACAAAUACCUCACUUCCCUCCCAAAAUCCCCUUGAACCAAACAAGGAAAUAAAAUUGGUCCGCUUCACUUCCUCUUCUAUAAUCCUUCUUUCUAUUAUCCUACCUUUCUUAUCAUUUCCCUCCAUUCCGUUCCACACAGAUAAUGGUGCACUUACCCUUGGAUUUGUUGAUUGCUUCUGCAAAUGACCAGGGUCACUGGCAAACUUUGUCAAAAUAGGAAACACUGCUUUUGAACCCGGGCAGUUGCUUCUGGAGCAUCAUUUGCAGAGAAUGUGGUUGAUGAUUCAGU
rnacentral:lncRNA from 1 species